rnacentral:rRNA from 1 species
CCUACGGGUGGCAGCAGUGAGGAAUAUUGGUCAAUGGCCGGAAGGCUGAACCAGCCAUGCCGCGUGAAGGUCAGUGCCCUAUGGGCGUUAAACUUCUUUUGUGCGGGAGCAAUAAUGGUCACGUGUGGCCAGACGAGAGUACCGUACGAAUAAGCAUCGGCUAACUCCGUGCCAGCAGCCGCGGUAAUACGGGGGAUGCAAGCGUUAUCCGGAUUUAUUGGGUUUAAAGGGUGCGUAGGCUGGGAGGUAAGUCAGCGGUGAAAUGCCCCCGCUCAACGGGGUGAAGUGCCAUUGAUACUGCCUGGCUGGAAUGCGGAUGCCGUGGGAGGAAUGUGUGGUGUAGCGGUGAAAUGCAUAGAUAUCACACAGAACACCGAUUGCGAAGGCAUCUCACGAAGCCGCGAUUGACGCUGAUGCACGAAAGCGUGGGUAUCAAACAGGAUUAGAUACCCGGGUAGUC